CCUACGGGUGGCAGCAGUGGGGAAUAUUGGACAAUGGGCGAAAGCCUGAUCCAGCCAUGCCGCGUGUGUGAAGAAGGCCUUCGGGUUGUAAAGCACUUUCAGUGGGGAAGAAAGCCUUGGGGCUAAUACCCUCGAGGAAGGACAUCACCCACAGAAGAAGCACCGGCUAACUCCGUGCCAGCAGCCGCGGUAAUACGGAGGGUGCGAGCGUUAAUCGGAAUUACUGGGCGUAAAGCGCGCGUAGGCGGUCUGAUAAGCCGGUUGUGAAAGCCCCGGGCUCAACCUGGGAACGGCAUCCGGAACUGUCAGGCUAGAGUGCGGGAGAGGAAGGUAGAAUUCCCGGUGUAGCGGUGAAAUGCGUAGAGAUCGGGAGGAAUACCAGUGGCGAAGGCGGCCUUCUGGACUGACACUGACGCUGAGGUGCGAAAGCGUGGGUAGCAAACAGGAUUAGAUACCCCGGUAGUC
rnacentral:rRNA from 1 species